rnacentral:rRNA from 1 species
UACGUAGGGUGCGAGCGUUAAUCGGAAUUACUGGGCGUAAAGCGUGCGCAGGCGGUAAUGUAAGACAGAUGUGAAAUCCCCGGGCUUAACCUGGGACCUGCAUUUGUGACUGCAUUGCUGGAGUGCGGCAGAGGGGGAUGGAAUUCCGCGUGUAGCAGUGAAAUGCGUAGAUAUGCGGAGGAACACCGAUGGCGAAGGCAAUCCCCUGGACCUGUACUGACGCUCAUGCACGAAAGCGUGGGGAGCAAACAGG